UGUUCAGAGAAAACCCCAUAUUGCCUUCUCUUUAACAGAGAAAAUUUGGAAAUGGGCAUGGCUUACAGCAAACUUCUAAAUCUGUGUAACUCUAUUUUUCAGGAGAAGUCCAAGGUCACAGCACACGUCCAGCCGUGCCGGAGGGUCGGGGCUGGAGCCGUGAGGGAAGGCUCGGCCCGGCCCGACCGGGCAGCGCUGAGCCGUGAGGGAAGGCCCGGCCCGGCCCGGCCCGGCCCUCCCGGGCAGCGCUGAGCCGUGAGGGAAGGCUCGGCUCGGCCCGGCCCGGCCCGGCCCGACCGGGCAGCGCUGAGCCGUGAGGGAAGGCUCGGCUCGGCCCGGCCCUCCCGGGCAGCGCUGCGCGGCCCCUCCGCGUCCCGCAGCCAGUGCUGCGAUGCGGGCUGUGAACGUGCCGCUCUGCACGGCUCCUGGAGAGCUGCAGGCUUAGCAGGGAUGGGGGGGGAAAAGAAACUUCCAUGCUGCAGCUGUGCAGGCAGGAGGAGGAAAGGAACUGCUAGGAAUGAUCAUAAAGCGGGUAAGAAUGAGGCUGUGGAGGUGGAUGCUGCUAUCAGAGAGCACGUAGCCCUAAGCAACUUUGGUUUGUGUGGGGCAGUUCAUUUCUGUGAGGUUCUCCCUUGCAAACAGGUGAAGUUUUGUGCAUUUAGGUAUUUCAGAAGUGCUCCACAUUAGCUUAAAUCUAGCACUGACUCUGCAAGGAGUAUAAAACUGACCUUGGUUUCUGAUUGAUGUCAUUAAUAUUUUAUCAGAACGUGGCCAAGCAUCUCCUCACAGCCUCGCUAGCUCAUUGCACCCCUACUCGCAGGGAGAUGGAUUUUUGAAAAGCAGGACCCUGCAGAGCAGAGACCAUGGCUGCUGUAAGGACAGAGAGGGCAGCACACAUGUAGGGAGUGUUCCAGAACACGUUCACUAAAUCUCAGGGAAGCUCUGCUUCAUGGCAAAGACACUCAGGACACCUGAUUCCUGACUGGAGAAUACAUGGAAGAACAUGAACUAUCACAAUAUAAACAAGAUUUAUUCUCCAAUAGUGUCUUAGAGGGAAUUAUGAAGCCAUACUGCCCUCCCCUUGCCUAGAGAAAACCUUUUGAUGCCAGGAUAGAUACUGAUAAAACUGAGGGGCACUGCCUGCAGCGGGUAAUGCACGUACUGUAGUCUCAUGAUUGUAACACACUUUGGAAGUCCUAGAAAUGCUGGUCCAAAAUAAACAGAAAAUAAAGAAAAUGAGAACAGGACCAUCUCUGUUAAAGAGAAAGUAGAGCCUUUUCCCAAGCAGGAAAUUAUGUCCUUACAUGAGCCCCAUCCAGAAUGAAACUGCAGAAUGAAGGUCUUAUUUUGCAGAAUUUACUUUUUUUUUUUCUUUUCUUUUUCUUACACCAUUCCAAAUACACCAGAUCUUUAAAAAGGCAACCUAAAACUUUCAAAAUGUUCUUCCUCACUAUCAUUUCUCAACAUUUCAACUAACCUAAAAAAUAACAGUACUUCAGUGAAAGCUGUAUCAUGUGAUUUUUUUUUUUUUUCUGAUUGAAUAUUUUUCAGUGAAAUAGGGUGGAACCUAAUGAAAUGCAAUAGUAAAAUGCACAUAUUAGAAUAUUAAGUAUAUUUAAUUUAGUAAUCCUAAUUUCAUUUAAAAUCAGUAUUGGUAGUUUAAUUAUAUUUUAAAAAUCACGUAAACUGUUUUCUAAACUAUAUUUGUUUCCUAAAAGUACAGACAAAUGCUGUGCAAGAACUCCUUAACUCUGAAAUGAAAGCUGUCAGAGAAGACAAAUUAUCUUGAAAUCACAAAAUAACUUUUCUUAUCUUAUCAGACACCACCACACAGAGACUGUUUGAAUUUUAUGCCACUGCACUGCUGACAGUUUCCACAACUGUAGAUCUUAUGAGUGACAAGUGCAGAGUCAGGCCAAAAUUACAAAGGUAGCUGAGACAGACCUUGAUGCCUGGUAGCAUUUAAAGAAAUAAAUGGGUUUGGUGUCUGACUCGCAGUGAGUUGAUUUGUCAUUUAAAGCAGGGGAGGAGGAAGGGACAUGUUAGAAGUUAGCAAUCCGCUAAUCCUUCUGUGGUGACAGAAUGGAGUUGAACAAACCAUCAUGAAAAUGUUUCAGGUGAAAUACAGGAUUUUGUGUGGCAGAAUGUCCUGGGCAACAAGAAGAGAAAGGAUGGGAUUUCUUUGUUGAAUUGGGAAAGUAUCAGGUCCCAGUGAAAAUGAAGUUUUUGCCAGUUUUUCUGCUUUUAUUUCAGAAACAUUUCCUAUGCAGCCUCCAUCUCACAUAGGUGCUAACCUUGGUGCGAAGACAAUGUAAAGAUGUACCUUAAAAGAAUUAAUUAGGUUCAUCCCCGCACCACAGCUAUUUAUGAUUUGAUCAACUUCUGCAUGCACAAAUGGUCACAUAUAGUGACAUGCUAAAAGAAGGUGACCCUACCCAAAGUAAUUUAAAAUAAAUCAUGGGUAGUAUGGACUUAGAGAGCACAGCAGAUUAAUUCCCUGGUUUCAUAGUUGAUAUAUAUGCAGCUCAUUCAUGUAUUAUUUGAGGUUAAAUUGAAGUCAUUAAGUCAGAUCCAUACCUAUUUGUUUCUGUUCUGAAUUUGGCCCAAAUAUUUAAAUUCUAAAAAAUUAAAUAUUGUGAUAGCAAAUAUUUCAGGAAGCUUAACCUUUUAAGUGCAGAUAAAAAACUACAAGAAGAAGAAAUCACUCUGAACAGUGCCAGACCCUUGAUUCACUCAACAGCUGAAAUGAAAAGUAAUGGCAAUGAAAACAUCUGGGACAAUAACCAGAAAAGGAAAAAAUAAUUCCUAUUUCCUUUUCUUAAUUUGGUCAAGAUUGGAGUAAAUUUGGAAAAUGAAAGUGUUGUAGUGCCUGAGGACAGUGUAUAGCAGGAUGGCUUUGCACAUAGCAAGCACAUAGCAUAAUAUGCAGAGAACUAACCAGAAGGGCUAUUUAUUUAAACUGAAAUAGAGAAAAUUAACCUAUCCAUUAAUCAUUGCAAGCACCGUGACUGUACAGGCUAAGUACCAUGCUAAAUGACUGUUUCCCUGCCUAAAAGUGCAACCACCAUAAUUUUAGCCCUGGUGGGAUGCUGGAAGAGUGCAUACUUCUUGCUUUCUUCUUGGAAAAGAGCUCUUCUAAUCUGCAUUGGUUGCACUUUCCUACUUGGUAAAUAACAGUGGCUCCAAAGGCUUUACAGCAGAUGUACUUGAAAGGUAUUCAGAGAGAGCUUGAAAUUGCAGUUUACUUUAGAACAGAAAAAACUGCCUUCCUUCCUGCCCUUAAACAAGCAGGAGCUUUUUCUACAUUUCUGUUCCUCCAUCCUCAAAGGUGGGAGACUGACCCUUGUCCCUCCAGACCCUGCUCAGUCACUGUCAUGGGGAGCUGGUGACUGCUGCUCCCCAAAAGACUCAGGAUCACAAGAGUGCAAAGGAAAAAAACACUGAGCUAUUGAUGUUAUUGUCCUGCUUAUGUGUUCUAAUGGCUUAGAAAGCAGAACUGGAAGCACAUGUUUAUUUUUGUCUAUCUGUUGUGAAAGGCAGAAGCAGCCAUAAGGAGUGAUAGGAACUGUGAUACACUUGAUGAAAAGGUGUAUCAGAAAUGGGGACUCUAACUUCAUUUUUUGAUAAGUGAACUAUGUAACUCUCCAAGUAAAGGCAUUUUUGGGGGUGUGGGAGGAUUGAGAAGUGAAGACUGAGAACUUAUACCUUUCUCAAAAUACUCUAUAAAUCUCAUUCUUUCUCAUUUAUAAAGAGAGAACUAGAACUGAAUAAAGCAGGAUAACUUUGGGGAGUGAAAAAUCCCUACAAAUUUUGGAUUAACUUUCUAUGGUAACUUUAUUCUUCUACUCCUAAAAUCACUAUGAGUUUCACAGGGCAUUGAAAUCCCUCUAUAUUUUUAAUACCCAUAUUAUAAUUAAAUAUUUUAACUUAGUAUUUUCUCGUAAAAGAAAGACAGGAUCAGCUAAAAAUUACCCUCAAGGUUUUAACUGCCUCCGUUCCUCCCUUCAGCUGUUCCAGUCUGCUCUGCAUCUUCCUUGGCAAAAGGCUUAUUGCCGUUUUCCUCACAGCCUGCCUGUGACACAGCAAAUGUUCCGCCAAGAACAAAUAACCGUGCACAGUGGUGGCUGCACAGGGCCAGUGUGGUACAGAAACAUUUCUGUUACAGCCUAAGAUUUGUCAUGCCAGCGUAAACCUUUGUGUGGAGAACUUUAUCUAUGCUUAGUGUGAGCGUGUAAAGCAGACAUAAGUAAAUUAACCGGCACAAGACAAAUGUCAGUGAAGUUAGUUUAAGAAAUUUAAGCUGAUCCAAAAUGAAACAUGCUCCCUUUGGACUUGCCUGCUGUAGGAUAUUUGUGUAGCAGAUUUGCAUCUUAAUUUUAAAACCAAACUUAAAUGUUACUUCCUAUUUGGUUUUUCCUUUUGCCACCGACUUUGGCAGGCGGCAGAGAAACCCCCAGCAGCCGUGACAGUGCCUUGCCCAGGCAGCUGAAGAGUUUGCCUGCACCAGGGGGUUUUGCCAGUGCCCUGCCACUGAACUGCCUCUAGCUCUCUCUUGUACUCUGGGUGUUUUAUCUGCCAGGAAACAGGGAACCUGGUCACUCUCAGUGUGGUACACAAUGACAAUAACAAAAGAUACAAAUCAGAUGAGCUUCAUUUGAGUUGCAAGGAAAGAGUUAUGUUUUGCUAUAGAAGUUUAUUCAUAUUGGAGCAUUCUUGAAGAUUACUCUGCUAUAAGGGGGUUUACUUUAUUUAUGGAUUUAUACCAGGAGGCUAGAAAUGAAGACUGGAACUGUGGCUUUGCUCCAAGGCCUCGCUAUGAGUACUUGACUGCAAUAGAGUAGAAGGGAAACAGAACACCUUUGAAAACUCAUAAGAGAAGUAUGUAGAAGAAGAAAUUUUCUAUAAGCUUAUACCUGUUAAAUAACUCAGAUGACUCCUUCUCUCUGGUCAAUCAUCUCAGCUGCUCUGAGCAGCAAAUUUGGGAACUACAAUGACAUUAAAAACUCCUCCCUCUUGCCAACCCACCUGCCCAAGCCUUACAUCCUCAUCUGCUUCUCAUAAACUCCUAUUCUGACAGGUACUCAGGAUCACGCCUGCAUGUCAGCUGCCCGUGCACAGCAUCUGACACCACAACACAUCAGAGAUGGUCCAUGGAGCAGUUAACUUACUGCUGUGGAUACACAGGAGGUUCUUUUCUGCACAAGGCAGCAAGUUCCAGCACCCAUGUUUGCUCACUAUAUCCUGUAUGUUUCUGCUAGAAUAAAGUUCCUCUUCAUUCCAGGCAGUGGUAUGAAAGGCCUCAUGGUCAAUAAAAUCCUUCACAACCUGUGGCAUGACCACCACCGUUACAAGGUGCCUAAGGGACUGACCUGUCAUAGUUUCAGUUAAAAAGGAAAAAAACAUACUCUUCAUGUAAUGAUGUGAUAAAAGAUCCCCCUUUGAUGUACGGGGUUUGAUGAAUUAAGGGUUUUCUUCUCCGAGUUAUGCAGUUUAAUGAAUGUUUUCCUAUGUAGCAAUAGCAGCAGUGUUAGUUUAAGUGCUGUUAGCUGCCUUUACAGGCUCAGAAGUAGGAGAAUGGCAUAAAACUUGAUGCACUACACCACAGAUUUUCUCCUCUCCCAGCAUGCUAACUACUGAAUUAUUAAAGACAUGAUGGGAUUUAUUGUUCACAUUCCAUUAUGAAAUGCAAUGUGCUGAAAUAGGGCUGACCUUGAGGUCCCUUUGCCAGUUCCAGAUCCGGUUUCUUCUGGUUGUCCUCUGCCAGAUAAGUUAAUAAGUUGUCAGUGGUGCCUCAGAAGGCAGGUCUGGUCCUUUCUUUCAGAAAAGGUGUGUGUUUAUGACAGGAGUCUUCUGACUCAGUAGAAAAGCAGUAGAUGAGAGGGGCUCAAAGCCUCCAGAAGCCUUGGCUGGGCACAGGAGACUCUGGGCAAUGGGAACAGGAGCACUCUCUGUGCUGGCUGGAAUUUCCUUUUACAGGAGUUGCAGCUGGCACUCUGGGCCUCCCAAAGAUGACUGCAAUGUACUCCUUUUUCCAGACUAAAUAAUCAUGCUAAUGUAAGCAGCUCUCUCAGAGGCUUGAAUAUUUUUAACAAGAUUCUCUUGAUUUAAAUCAAAUAGAUCUCUUACCUCUGGCUCUUCCAGAAGCACAAAAAGGCUUGUGGGACUUUCAGGAAAGCAGUAAGAGAAGAGACUUCUAUCUCUCUCUCACUCCCCUGUCUUCAUUCACAAAUGUCUUUACCAUUUUCUCUGGGUUUGGAUGAACACAGCAAGGUCAUGAGUUUACAAAAAUCCUCACCUGCUAUAUGAAGGAGACUAUCCCAUAGAAUUGGGAUAGUCUCCUUUCAAGUUUUGAAUCAAGUCUCAAGCAUUUUUUAGAGGCCAGUUCUUUACCAACAAGCUUCACAAGCUGUAUAUAACAUUUUUCAGAGUCUAUCAAGAUUUCCUUGCAAAAAAAUUGGCAAACACAGGAGCCUUUUGAGCAAAUUCGGAUCUACUAAUACACUAUGCAAUAAACUAUGUUAGUGGACAUUAGGAUUUAGUUUUGUACCUGAAUUACAUAAUUUCAGGAUCUUUCUCAAGCUGAUAAAGACUCAGAGGUGCCUCUUCAAAGCUUUUUCUUUUAGGAGCCUCUGUGGAUACAGCUCGUUUGUUUCAGCAGAGGGACCUUUCUGACUGAACCUGUGCAUUGUGUGAAGAGAGACACAGAGCAGUUACAUAUUCCAGAUUCUUCAGGGAUUGAAGCACCAUUGCCGUGUACCUCAAGUAGUACUUCUGGUUUAGUUUCCUUCACAAGAAAUAUGACUCGUAUGCACCAAAGCAGCAAAUGAAACCAGAACAGGAUAAAUGGGGAUGAUGGAGAGAUUUGCUGCAGAGCUGCUCUGCUCUCCUAAAUGCCAACAUGGCUGGGGAUCCACUGGAAUGGAUUGUCAUCUAUUCAAGCACUGUUAAAGGACAACAAAGAGACUUUGACAUGGGACAGUCCUCUGACCAACCAUGGGACCAGACAAUAAUAAGGAAGCGUGUAACUGACUCAUAAUGUGCAAAAGGAAGUUUUUGGAGAGGAGAGAGGAAGAGACAAGCAUACUUCAGUAGCCUGGUGGGGGGUGGUCUUCAGGAAAAAACGCUGGAGCCCUAAGGAAACUGUUCCAGAUGGUGAAGAAUCAGAGAGACACAACAUGUAGGGUUCAUCAGAUACGUGCUGGUUUAUUUUUGAGUGAUUCCAAAGAGACCAAGCAAAGAAGCAGCGCCUUUGCCCAUUUAUACUGCAAAGAAGUUAGAACAUGGAAGAGAUCUCAAUAUGGUAUGAACUGCCACAGCUGUGACGGCGGAUGGGGGCUUCAGAGUCACUCUGUGGGGUGACUCAGCAUCCCAAAAUACUGGAUCAUGGUAAUAUGAAGAAUCUUUAACAUCAGGAGAAAGCAAUGAGAAAAGGUUUUGCAUUUCUGAUUUAGCUGAAUUUCAGAUCCAGAUAUAUUUGUAAGUUAUUUUAGCUUAAAAUAUUUCUGAAAAUGUUAAAUUUUAGAAAACCUCUACGAGAAAGGAAAUUAAAAGCAAGAGAGGAUGUUAACACUUUUUUUCCCCUCUUUGUGGGGAAAAAUCCCAGAAAAAUCAUCUACAGCUUCUUUUCCUACUCACAAAAUGAAAUAUGUCUAUGCAGAGAGAUUGAUCCAGUCUGGUUUUUUUAGUUGAAAUGUACCCAGUGGUUCUCUGUAUGCCCCAUAUAUCCCAGCAAUUUAUUACAUGAUGUGAAGGUCAGACUCUCAGAAAAUAAAUACCUCAGAGCCAGCAGUAACCAGAAGCUGAGGUGUCCUAAAAUGAGUAUUAAUCUGGAGGGAAAAGGGUGACUAGCUGGAGACUUAAGAGCUGUGUUUCAGAGACGUGUGUGGUUCCUGGAGAAGCUCACACUCAAAUACUUGUGAAACACACCAUUUAGCACUCACUGCUGUCCAGUCACAUUCUUUCAGUUCACUGUUAAUAUUUACUCACCUUUUUCUGCCUUCUGAUCUUUGCCAUAGCUUUAUAAUUUUCAGUUUGCUUCACCAAAAUUAAGAGCAAACAGUGUGCAACCAAGUUAGACAUGGUCAGGGAAAUGACGAAGAACAUGGUGUCCGAGGCCAGGCCUUAUCCUGAGGAGCCAGGCAAGAUUUUAAUUAUUUCAAUUGCCUUCUCUAUAUCCCUGUGGUGCCCCCCACUGAAGAUCACAAGAACGAGGCAAGGCCUUUCUCUGUGACCAUGUUACCAGAUAGGAAACAUCUCCCCUGCCUGGGGAUGUGGGACUGGAAGGGGACAGCCAAAGUGACUCCCUCAAUGGUGUGGGGGAUAUUUAAUGACAGGAGGCUCCUCAGCAUGAUGACUCCACAUCCUCUGCUAUUGAAAUGCUUCCUCAUGCUCCCCAGAUUAAUAAGAACUAUAGUUUAAAAAACCAAAACAAGGCCAGGGAUUUAUGAUUUAUCACAGACAGACAAGAAGGGUAUCAGAGUACUGUGAAUACCCUGUGUCACUGCAGCAACAAAGGACUUACUGAAUUAAACUUCCCAGCCAUUACAGACAGCAACUGUUUUCUGUUCCAUGUUACAGAAAAACCUAAGGAAAAUCCAGCAAUAAAUGGAACAGAAAUUUCUUAGUACUACUGAGAAUGUGAGUAGGACACAUGACCAGAUAACUUAAGGAGUGUAAUGCCAGCCACACCUUGGACCACGCAACUUCUCCUCUGAUCCAAAUACAUCUGCUGCCAGAGAAGAGCAAGGGCAAGCUGUCCUGUGUGGUGUGAAAUAACCUGGCCCUUGCCUCAAGAAAGGGAAGGGGAAAUAGGGCAGCUAUACAAUGCAAUGGUGCUCUGCCUGUCUCCUGUCCUGCAGUGCAAAGUCUGUUGCCAUUACUCCAUCAAAAUUAGAAAACAAAAGUCUGUGUGCCAGUAGCAUUAAAAAUAUGCUUCUCUCACAAAUUAUAGGUUGCAGAUUACCAUGUGAAGUGGCUGCAGUAGUUAAUAAGAGUCUUUAGCUCUGUCAAAGACACCUAUGCUGAAGCAACUGUAGCUGCCCUCUAAGAGCUGUUAUUAUUAUUAUCCUCCAAGAGCUGUUGAAGUCCUGUCUGUAUUUACAGGCUUUCAGUAACAAAACUGUGCCCUGUGGAUGGGGGCCAGCUCCUGUUCAGGGCACAUAACCCUCUACAAUGUGCUGGGGGUUGUGACUGGUCCUCUCUUGUCACCCUUCUGGGCUCGGGCCAAGCUGUUGCCAAAUUGCCACAUUUCUCCCAAAACAUACUAGUUUUUAAGUCCCAUGCUGAUUAUUUUAAUGACCAUGGGUCCUUCUGGAAACCCUGUGGGGGGUAGAGAACAUCACAGAUGUGACAGGAGCCCAGCAGACUAAAAGCAGUCCUGGGGGACCCGCUUACUCAUGGACAGAUGCAUAUGCUAACAACAGACAUCCCAUCAUCCUUACUGCCAUUACCAGUUGUAACCAUGAGCAUCCAAGGUAAACCCCAGCAGUAUUCAGCUGCAAUUCCCAGUCAAUGGGAAUUGUCCUGAUCAAACUAAGAGUGCAGCUCAUUGAGUAUUUGAAACUCCACUUAAAAGUAAAUAUUGACACGGUUUAAAGGGAUUAACUAAGAUGACUGGAUUCUUGUUAAAAAGUUUUUGCGAGUAAAAAGAGCCUUUUACUAAGCCUUCACAGUAUUUUGAGAUGUCAUUUCCUGUGAUAAAAUGGAAAAAAAGGGGAAAACUUGCUUUAAAAGUAUAUUAAAAUCUCAUGUUCCUAAACACUUACCUUUAAAUGACCAACUCUUAAAAUAAUAGCUCUCAUAAAACUACACAACAGGUAGCUCUGUGUGUGACUUAUUAAAGGACGGUGGAUGAUGCCACACUGGCAGCAAAGAGGUAAAUAGAUUAAAUUUCCCAGACCCGUAUUCUUUACUGUAUGUAAGCAAUAUGAAGUGGUCAGUCCUGAAUUUUGUCUAUUUUUAUUGCUCCUAAGUGCAGGACAUUUUGCUUCUCUUCAUCAGUCACCCUGUGUAUACGAUGAGAAUAAUACCUGUAACAUCAGCUACAGAAGAGAUUUCCAGAUGGAUGGAGGGAGGGAGGAAGGAAGUGAGGACUAGGACUUUGCCACACGUGCCCGCUCUCCAGCAGGAAGGCUGGGUGGUCACCCCGGAGCCCAUGACUAAGCCUAAGCCAGGGAGGGAGGCUUUCCUCCUGCUCUGUGCUGAGCAGCCCCCAUCCCCAUGGCGGCUCUGCGCCUGACCCCGUGCUUAUCUCCGAUGGAACUCGAGCCUGCAGUUCCCCCAGAGCCCCUAUCAGCGUCUCCCAGGCGAUGUGAGCCACAGCAGGAGAGAAAGUGUCCCCUGCACUGCCUCUCCUCAGCAGCAGCUGGGGCCAUGCCCGCCCAGCCAGCUCCAGAUGCACACGCAAUAAACCACAGCAAUAAACCACAGCAAUAAACCACAGCAUGGGCUGCUGGCUGGGGCUGGGCAAGGAGCCUGGCCUGUUAAAGAGAGGAAGUAGAGAUAGUAGAUAGAUACCAAUAUUACAAAAUUGUUUGAAAUCAAAACAAACCUCAAAAAGAUCUCCCCCUUUUCUUUCAGCAAAAAUCAUAGAAUUAAAUAUUUGACUUAGUAAAUUCUCUCUUCUAGAAAAGCAAAUUUAAAAAUGUCACAGUGAUGAACAAUGUGUAAAAAAAGCCAUCAUAUUAUUCUUGAAUGAGGUUUAAUAAAAAUCAAAUAAAAGCAAUUAUCUGAAUUUUCAAGAGGAUCACUUCUUCCUUCCCUGAGGUACAAAAGAGAAUGAAUUCAGGAAAUCAUUAGAAUCAGAAACUGGCGCUGCACAACAGAGCCACUGUUUGCUGUACAAAGACAAACAGAAUUCUCCUCCCAGGCUGACAGGCUCCUUGCUAAAGCUGUUGGAGUGGAAAUUCCACCUAUAGGUGAAGAAGGGUAAUUAGAGGCACAAGAAUUUCUUUGUAGUAGGGCUGGCUUUUCUACUCCAGCGCAAGCUUCAGCUUUUCAAGUAUUCAUAUUCUCUACUCAUACAGAAAGAAGUGGGACAUAUCACAAUGUUCAGAGCUGCCCACAGAUCCCUCUAAGCAGGUACAUGUGAAUUAACACCCACUAGCACACCCCACAUAGCACUUGCCUGCUCUCUCUUUCUCCUGGGUAAAUCCCGACUGCCCAGUUUAUCCUUUCCUUCUGCCCCUCAGUCAUCUCACCUGAUGGAGAGAGUACCACAUACACUUCUCAUUUGGAAAGGGAAAUCCAAAUAUUUUGUGAGAAUGUGGUGAUUUCAAUGACAUUUUCAAAGGCAGAGAGCGGAAACGCAUUAUUUCAAUACUCUAAUUUAUUCUGGUAAGAGGAAAACAUUUCAUGCUGACUCAUUCCAAUUUCUUUGGAUUCCAAUGUUAUGGUAUACUAAGUGUUGCAAUAUUGAUAUUACUGUUGAAUAUUUUGAUGACAAGCAUGGUUUUUUAAAUAUGCAUGAGAAAUCUUCAAUGUGCCAACUGUUUUCUAUUCACACUUUGAAUGAAAACAAAUCCUGAAGUAGAAAUCUUACCA